rnacentral:rRNA from 1 species
CCUACGGGAGGCAGCAGUAGGGAAUAUUGCUCAAUGGGGGAAACCCUGAAGCAGCAACGCCGCGUGGAGGAUGAAGGUUUUCGGAUUGUAAACUCCUUUUGUUAGAGAAGAUAAUGACGGUAUCUAACGAAUAAGCACCGGCUAACUCCGUGCCAGCAGCCGCGGUAAUACGGAGGGUGCAAGCGUUACUCGGAAUCACUGGGCGUAAAGAGCGCGUAGGCGGGAUAGCAAGUCAGAUGUGAAAUCCUAUGGCUUAACCAUAGAACUGCAUUUGAAACUGUUAUUCUAGAGUAUGGUAGAGGUAGGUGGAAUUCUUGGUGUAGGGGUAAAAUGCGUAGAGAUCAAGAAGAAUACUCAUUGCGAAGGCGACCUGCUAGAACAUAACUGACGCUGAUGCGCGAAAGCGUGGGGAGCAAACAGGAUUAGAUACCCCUGUAGUC